rnacentral:lncRNA from 1 species
GCACUUGUGGGUCCGGGCUGUCACUUGUGGGGCAGCCGUGGGGCAGCUGUGGGGCGCUGAUCCCUCUCCGCAGUGUCGGGCCACGCUGGCCGCCUGGUCGUGGGCUACCUGGGCUCCGUCCCCUGCGCAGUCCUCCAGGGCCGCUUCCAUCUCUACGAGGGCUACAGCCCCGCUCAGGUGGGUCCUCCAGUCACCGCGGCGGCCCCUCACCCCGUCGCGGUGUUGUCGCGCCAACUCUAUGGUUGUUGCGUUCAUCUCUAUGGUUGGAGGUCCAAUCCAUCUCUAUGGUAGCUUUGUUCAACUCUAUGGUUGUUCUGUUCAACUCUAUGGUUGUUCUGUUCUACUCUAUGGUUGUUGUGUUCAUCUCUAUGGUUGGAGGUCCUUUUCGUCUCUAUGGUUGUUCUGUCCAACUCUAUGGUUGUUGCGUUCAUCUCUAUGGUUGGAGGUCUCAUUCGUCUCUAUUCUGUUCAACUCUAUGGUAGUUCUGUUCAACUCUAUGGUAGCUUUGUUCAACUCUAUGGUAGCUUUGUUCAACUCUAUGGUUGUUGCGUUCAUCUCUAUGGUUGGAGGUCUCAUUCGUCUCUAUUCUGUUCAACUCUAUGGUAGUUCUGUUCAUCUCUAUGGUAGUUCUGUUCAACUCUAUGGUUGUGUUCAUCUCUAUGCUUGGAGAUCUCAUUCAUCUCUAUGGUUGUUCUCUUCAACUCUAUGGUUGUGUUCAUCUCUGUGGUGGUUCUGUCCAACUCUAUGGUUGUGGUGUUCACCUCUAUGGUUGGAGGUCUCAUUCAUCUCUAUGGUAGUUCUGUUCAACUCUAUGGUUGUUGCGUUCACCUCUAUGGUUGGAGGUCCCAUUUAUCUCUCUCCGGUCCUCCUGCUUCUCUCUAUGGUUGUUGGGUUCCUCUCCCCAGUCCUCCUGCUCCUCUCCCUGGUUUUCCUGCUCCUGUCUAUGGUUGUUGGGUUCCUCUUUACAGUCCUCCCAUUCCUCUCUAUCCGGUUGCUGGGUUCCUCUCCCUGGUCCUCUUGCUCCUCUCUGUGAUUCUCCCAUUCUUCUCUAUGGUUGUUAGGUUCCUUUCUAUGGUUCUCCCACUCGUCUCCCCGGUCCUCCCGCUCCUCUCUAUGGUCCUCCUGCUCCUCUCUGUGGUUGUUGGGUUCCUCUCCCUGGUCAUCCCGCUCCUCUCUUCAGUCCUCCUGCUCCUCUCUAUGGUUGUUGGGUUCCUCUCCCAGGUCCUCCCAAUCCUCUCUUCAGUCCUCCUCCUCCUCUCUAUGGUUGUUGGGUUCCUCUCCCUGGUCCUCCCACUCCUCUCCCUGGUCCUCCCACUCCUCUCCCUGGUCCUCCCACUCCUCUCCCUGGUCCUCCCACUCCUCUCCCUGGUCCUCCCACUCCUCUCCCGGGUCCUCCCAAUCCUCUCUUCAGUCCUCCUGCUCCUCUCUAUGGUUGUUGGGUU